rnacentral:rRNA from 1 species
CAGUAGCCACGGUAAUACGUAGGGUGCGAGCGUUAAUCGGAAUUACUGGGCGUAAAGCGUGCGCAGGCGGUUUUGUAAGACAGGCGUGAAAUCCCCGGGCUCAACCUGGGAAUGGCGCUUGUGACUGGCAAGCUAGAGUCUGGCAGAGGGGGGUGGAAUUCCGCGUGUAGCAGUGAAAUGCGUAGAUAUGCGGAGGAACACCGAUGGCGAAGGCAGCCCCCUGGGCCAACACUGACGCUCAUGCACGAAAGCGUGGGGAGCAAACAGCAUUAGAUACCCCAGUAGUCCCUGUCUCUUAUAC